rnacentral:rRNA from 1 species
AUUGAACGCUGGCGGCAUGCCUUACACAUGCAAGUCGAACGGGCAGCACGGGAGCAAUCCUGGUGGCGAGUGGCGAACGGGUGAGUAAUAUAUCGGAACGUGCCCAGUCUGGGGGAUAACGUAGCGAAAGCUACGCUAAUACCGCAUACGAUCUAUGGAUGAAAGCGGGGGAUCGCAAGACCUCGCGCGAUUGGAGCGGCCGAUAUCAGAUUAGGUAGUUGGUGAGGUAAAGGCUCGCCAAGCCGACGAUCUGUAGCUGGUCUGAGAGGACGACCAGCCACACUGGGACUGAGACACGGGCCCAGACUCCUACGGGAGGCAGCAGUGGGGGAAUUUUUGGGACAAUGGGCGCAAGCCUGAUCCAGCAAUGCCGCGUGCAGGAUGAAGGCCUC